rnacentral:tRNA from 1 species
ACAACGGAUUAGCAAUCCGACGCUUUCGUCCACUCAGCCAUCUCUCC